rnacentral:rRNA from 1 species
UACGAGGGGGGCGAGCGUUGUUCGGAAUUAUUGGGCGUAAAGGGUGCGUAGGCGGUUUGGUAAGUCUGAUGUGAAAUCUAUGGGCUCAACUCAUAGUCUGCAUCGGAAACUGCCGGGCUUGAGUAUGGGAGAGGUGAGUGGAAUCCCUGGUGUAGCGGUGAAAUGCGUAGAUAUCAGGAGGAACACCUGUGGCGAAAGCGGCUCACUGGACCAUAACUGACGCUGAUGCACGAAAGCUAGGGGAGCAAACAGG